UACGAAGGGGGCUAGCGUUGCUCGGAAUCACUGGGCGUAAAGCGCACGUAGGCGGAUUGUUAAGUCAGGGGUGAAAUCCUGGAGCUCAACUCCAGAACUGCCUUUGAUACUGGCGAUCUUGAGUCCGGAAGAGGAGAGUGGAAUUCCUGGUGUGCGGUGAAAUGCGCAGAUAUCAGGAAGAACACCCGUGGCGAAGGCGGCUCUCUGGUACGUGACUGACGCUGAGACGCGAAAGCGUGGGGAGCAAACAGG
rnacentral:rRNA from 1 species